rnacentral:rRNA from 1 species
CCUACGGGUGGCAGCAGUGGGGAAUAUUGGGCAAUGGAGGAAACUCUGACCCAGCAACGCCGCGUGAAUGAUGAAGGUCUUCGGAUUGUAAAGUUCUUUUCUAAGGGAAGAAGAAAGUGACGGUACCUUAGGAAUAAGCCCCGGCUAACUACGUGCCAGCAGCCGCGGUAAUACGUAGGGGGCAAGCGUUAUCCGGAUUUACUGGGUGUAAAGGGAGCGUAGACGGCAGCGCAAGUCUGGAGUGAAAUGCCGGGGCCCAACCCCGGAACUGCUCUGGAAACUGUGAAGCUGGAGUGCAGGAGAGGUAAGCGGAAUUCCUGGUGUAGCGGUGAAAUGCGUAGAUAUCAGGAGGAACACCGGCGGCGAAGGCGGCUUACUGGACUGUAACUGACGUUGAGGCUCGAAGGCGUGGGGAGCAAACAGGAUUAGAUACCCCAGUAGUC